rnacentral:lncRNA from 1 species
AAGAGUAUCAUGGCACAAUGUCGAAAACCAAAAUCCUGAUAAAGGUUAUACAGAAAAUAAUAUUAAAUUCGAUUAUUUCAGCACCAAGGACACCUUAAAUAAAAUAGGAUUAAUAGAAUUCUUGAAGAAAUGAAAAAAGACAAUUGUGUAUGAUAGUCAUCUACUUAAAUGAUUUUUGAAAGCUAUCAUCACUGCGUGUCAUACAUAUGAUUUCUACUAGAUCCAUUUUUGAUGAAAACUCCUUUUGAUCUUCUGAAAAAUGGAAAAUGAACCAUUGCAUAUCUUUCAUAGUUUUCAGUCGUUCAUACUAUGCUUGAUAUGUUCUUAUGAAAAUAAUGCCAUCCUUGGAUAUCACUCAUCAAGCAAUGCAUAUAGAAUAUUCAAUGAAAAGAUUUUAGUUGCAGAAAUAUCAAUUCAUCUUACUCUUUAUGAGACUAAUAAUCUUUCAUGAAGACACUAAAAUCAGAUUAUUUGACAUGUUUAUGAUUAAUCUUUUUGCAUACAUUUAAUAAUCUGAAACUAAAACACUUAAGAAUGUAUAAGAUUAUAAUUGGUUAAGUUAAACUAAAUCAUUUUUUUUUAAUCUGAAAUCUUGCCGAUGAAAUUUGAAAAUUUAUUAGAACCAAAUUGAGUUUUUCAGAAAUGCACUUAAUGAAGAAAAAUUGAUGACUAUUAAAAGACUAAAUCAAGAAAAGAUGAAAUAGAUCUUGAUAAGAUUCUUACAUGAUUAGAAGUAAAGAUCACCAUCAUCAUUUGCUUGCUUUAUGAGCUUUAUAUUCUGUCAAAUGAAUGUGUAGAAUGCACUCCUAUGUGGUUAUUUCAUUAAAAAGGACAUCUAAGUAAAAUAACCCCCUUAUUUACAAAUACAUAUUACAUAUCUGAUAAAGCAUUACGUGAUUUGGAACAAGCAUCAAAAGCAUGAUAUAAAAGCUUAAGUAACCUUUUUGAUAGAGAAUGAUAGUGAUAAAUCUAUGCAUCAAAAAGAAGAAUUUGUGAUAUCUUAUUUGCUCAAAGUAUGCAGUAAUGACAUCAUUUUUGGUUCUACUAAUGAAGAGAU